AGUGAACGCUGGCGGUAGGCCUAACACAUGCAAGUCGAACGGCAGCACAGUAAGAGCUUGCUCUUACGGGUGGCGAGUGGCGGACGGGUGAGGAAUACAUCGGAAUCUACUUUUUCGUGGGGGAUAACGUAGGGAAACUUACGCUAAUACCGCAUACGACCUACGGGUGAAAGCAGGGGAUCUUCGGACCUUGCGCGAUUGAAUGAGCCGAUGUCGGAUUAGCUAGUUGGCGGGGUAAAGGCCCACCAAGGCGACGAUCCGUAGCUGGUCGGAGAGGAUGAUCAGCCACACUGGAACUGAGACACGGUCCAGACUCCUACGGGAGGCAGCAGUGGCGAAUAUUGGACAAUGGGCGCAAGCCUGAUCCAGCCAUACCGCGUGGGUGAAGAAGGCCUUCGGGUUGUAAAGCCCUUUUGUUGGGAAAGAAAAGCAGCAGGUUAAUACCCCGCUGUUCUGACGGUACCCAAAGAAUAAGCACCGGCUAACUUCGUG
rnacentral:rRNA from 1 species